UACAGAGGCCUCGAGCGUUAGGCGGAAUCACUGGGCUUAAAGCGUGUGUAGGCGGACUUCUAAGUACCUUGUGAAAUCCCGCAGCUUAACUGUGGAACUGCUUGGUAUACUGGUUGUCUUGAGGUACCUAGGGGCGAGCGGAACAAGUGGUGGAGCGGUGAAAUGCGUAGAUAUCACUUGGAACGCCAACGGUGAAAACAGCUCGCUGGGGGUAUCCUGACGCUGAGACACGAAAGCCAGGGGAGCAAACGGG
rnacentral:rRNA from 1 species